AUGAACGCUAGCGGCAGGCCUAAUACAUGCAAGUCGAACGAGAUGUUUUAGCAAUAGAACAUGAAAGUGGCGCACGGGUGCGUAACACGUAUGCAAUCUACCUUUAAUAGGAGAAUAGCUUCGAGAAAUCGGAAUUAAUACUCCAUAACAUAAUUGAGUGGCAUCACUUGGUUAUCAAACCUCCGGGGAUUAAAGAUGAGCAUGCGCAACAUUAGCUAGUUGGUAAGGUAAUGGCUUACCAAGGCUACGAUGUUUAGGGGGUCUGAGAGGAUGAUCCCCCACACUGGCACUGAGAUACGGGCCAGACUCCUACGGGAGGCAGCAGUAGGGAAUAUUGGGCAAUGGACGCAAGUCUGACCCAGCCAUGCCGCGUGCAGGAUGAAGGCGUUAUGCGUUGUAAACUGCUUUUAUACAGGAAGAAACGACUCUUGCGAGAGGCAUUGACGGUACUGUAUGAAUAAGCACCGGCUAACUCCGUG
rnacentral:rRNA from 1 species